GAAUUUGUAGCUUAGUCGGUGAAGAAUCUGCCUGCAAUGCAGGAGACUCAAGUUCG
rnacentral:tRNA from 1 species